GGGUGGUCUGUUUCCAUAUAUCUUUUUAUAUUGCGGAAAAAAAAUUUGUCAUGCCAAACGCAACAUUUUCUGCUGAGUUAAGAAAAAGCGGCAAGUAUGGUUUCAUGGGCUCUUGUCCUCUCUGACAACUGCGGCUCCGACCUGUCACGGACACCCCUAAUGUCCAGCAGCAGGCUCUGGAGCCGCUGGCAAAGUGGGAAACCGGCAGCUGGAGCAAAUAUUGUGACAUGAAUAACCUUAGGAGUCACGAUAUAAUCUCACAUCUUUUGAGUAUUUACAAUGUGCCAGGCACGGGUGAAGCAUUUUUCAUGCAUUGACCUCCUUAAUCUUCUCAUGUGUCCUAGAAAGUAUCUAUUGUCAUCGUCUUCAUUUUACAGAUGAGGCAGUGCCGAGAGACAGAGAAGUUGAGGAACCCGCCCAAGGUCACAUAAUUAUUAAGUGACUUCCCACCGUUGCAGUGGCUACAAGCACUGCGGUCAGCAGAGCAGAGAGCUGCCUGCAUUCCCACCAGCGCCGUCCUGCUCUUUAUAACCAACUGGAUUCCCAGUCCCAUAAAAAAGCCUCCUACAUUUAUUUACUUAUAAUGAUUUUGGAAGAAACACUUCAAAGAAGUUUAACUUCGGCAAGUGACGUUCUGUCAGAACCAUUCCAAGGACAGAAGAGAGUGACUGGGACGCAGAUGAUUGCUGAAGUCCUCUCUCUUCCACUGAUUUAUGUUAAAGCUCCAGGUCUGUUUCAUGAGAGGGGAACUCCUUUCCUGUCUGCAGCUUUACGCAGCGGUCCCUGA
rnacentral:lncRNA from 1 species